AUGCACGCUGGCGGCGUGCCUAAUACCUGCCAGUCGAGCGCACAGACGAGGAGCUUGCUCCUCUGACGUUAGCGGCGGACGGGUGAGUAACACGUGGAUAACCUACCUAUAAGACUGGGAUAACUUCGGGAAACCGGAGCUAAUACCGGAUAAUAUAUUGAACCGCAUGGUUCAAUAGUGAAAGACGGUUUUGCUGUCACUUAUAGAUGGAUCCGCGCCGCAUUAGCUAGUUGGUAAGGUAACGGCUUACCAAGGCAACGAUGCGUAGCCGACCUGAGAGGGUGAUCGGCCACACUGGAACUGAGACACGGUCCAGACUCCGACGGGAGGCAGCAGUAGGGAAUCUUCCGCAAUGGGCGAAAGCUUGACGGAGCAACGCCGCGUGAGUGAUGAAGGUCUUCGGAUCGUAAAACGCUGUUAUUAGGGAAGAACAAAUGUGUAAGUAACGAUGCACGUCUUGACGGUACCUAAUCAGAAAGCCACGGCUAACUACGU
rnacentral:rRNA from 1 species